rnacentral:lncRNA from 1 species
GAAACCUAAGAAUGGAAAAAUAUCAGUGCUACCCAAAGUUCCUGAGUCAAUCACAGUUCUGGAUUCUGUCACUCACAUAACUAGGAGAAAUGGAGAAAACAUUAUCUCCAGCCAGAUCCAGAAAGCAGCAUCCUGACACAGGUGGUGACACCCCACAGAUGAGACCUCAGCUCUGGGACCACCUCAGCACAGCUGAGAAUUCACAUAGACGAAGGGAGGCUUCAACUCAGCCGAGUCUCAACAGUCACACAUCUAAUAGGCACUGUCAAGAGUGACAUGAGAGGACUGGAGAGAUGGCUCAGUGGUGAAUUGAAUCCACUGUUCUUGCU